rnacentral:rRNA from 1 species
GAGACGGAUCUCUUUGAGGCCCGUUAUCGGAAUGAGAACAAUUCAAAUCCUUUAACGAGGAUCUAGCGGAGGGCAAGUCUGGUGCCAGCAGCCGCGGUAAUUCCAGCUCCGCAGGUGUAUAUCUAUGCUGCUGCGGUUAAAAAGCUCGUAGUUGGAUCUGCGCGCUCGGAACCGGUUGGCUCACUGAGUCCAAACUGGCCUCCGGCGCUUUAUCGGCUGGUUUUCCCUUGAUGCUCUUAACCGGGUGUCUUGGGUGGCUAGCGCGUUUACUUUGAAAAAAUUAGAGUGCUCAAUACAGGCGCAAGGCCUUGAAUAGUGGUGCAUGGAAUAAUAGAAUAGGACCUCGGUUCUAUUUUGUUGGUUUUCGGAAUACGAGGUAAUGAUUAAGAGGGACAGACGGGGGCAUUCGUAUUGCGACGUUAGAGGUGAAAUUCUUGGAUCGUCGCAAGACGGACGACUGCGAAAGCUUUUGCCAA